rnacentral:rRNA from 1 species
AUUGAACGCUGGCGGCAGGCCUAACACAUGCAAGUCGAACGGUAACAGGAAGCAGCUUGCUGCUUUGCUGACGAGUGGCGGACGGGUGAGUAAUGUCUGGGAAACUGCCCGAUGGAGGGGGAUAACUACUGGAAACGGUAGCUAAUACCGCAUAAUGUCGCAAGACCAAAGAGGGGGACCUUCGGGCCUCUUGCCAUCGGAUGUGCCCAGAUGGGAUUAGCUUGUUGGUGAGGUAACGGCUCACCAAGGCGACGAUCCCUAGCUGGUCUGAGAGGAUGACCAGCCACACUGGAACUGAGACACGGUCCAG